GUGACAAACUCCUUCCACUCAAUAGGCCCUGCAUCCUGACUUCCACUGUUUAAACCAAGUGUGAGCAACAUCCUGCAACUGAUAUGCAGCUAGCUCAGCGCUCUUACUAGAAGUAACCCCCAUGAUGUUUGUAACCUUCUGAACUUGGUCAAGAAAUUCCUGAGGGUCCUUAUCUGACUUAGACCCCAGAAAGGAUGGAGGAUUCAUUCGGGUGAAGUCCUGAAUCCUGGAUGUAGCUGAAUUGGCCACUGGGUUGGUCGGAAUGACAACUGGUCGUUCAUUCAGAGUAGCAACUGACUGAGCAAGAGUAGUGAAUGCAGCUCUGAACUCUGCAUGAGAAACAUGUUCGCCCAAAGGUUCUUCGGGCUGAGGGGCUGACUGAUCCCCAUUUCUUCUUUUAGGAGGCAUGUUCUGUAGAAGAAAGGGAGAAACAGAUUAGACCAGAUAGUGGCACGACACAAAUACUGAAAGAAGAGAAAUUGUUAAACAUCUUAUAGCCUCCUGCACAUAAAUGUGGCGCGCAACACACCCAUGUACAAGACUUUACUAGAUGCGGCUUUCAGACUUCCUAGGACUCUAUUGAACCUUAGGCUCUGAUACCAAGUUUGUAACGCCCCGAAUUUGGUAUCCGGUACGUUACACGGUGCUCAUGACCCCGAAGGACCAUAAGCUAACCCAUGACUGAUAUCUGUACCUGUGCACUGCAUGAUAUACUGUAUAAAUGCGGAAAUAAAGGCUGAAAGGCCAUAAGGUUCAAAACUGUAACAUAACUGAUAAACAUAACAUAUGGAUGGGGUAUGAAAUGCCCAAAACAACUGAAAUAAACUGUCUGAACAUACUGUAGUCUGAAAAGCCUCUAAUUGACUGAACUGUCUGAAUAAGGAGUUGAUGGGACAAGUCCCCCAACUAACUCCAACUACUGAAAUAAAUUAAUUAAUGAGAUAAUAAAGUAAUGGUCAUGUCCUCGAAGGAUGAGGACUCACUGCUAACUUUGACUGCUGAGACUGGAAUGCUAUUGAUGCUCUGGAGCUCGUGCUUCUGAACCUAUGGUAUAAAACACCAUAGCGCAAAUGCGUCAGUACGUUUGAAUGUACUGGUAUGCAUGUGAGGUAGGCUGAAUGCAAAGGGUUCACAUGCAUGAACUAUACUAACUGACUGGAUAACAUGAACGUGAGCAUGCAUGCAUGAAUACAUAAUGACUAUAACUGAGUUCGUGAUAACGUGAUUACUGAAUUAGAGUACUGAUAACAUGAGAUACUGAUAAUCGUAUAACUGAAAUAACUACUACUGAGUGACUGUAUCUGACAAUCUAGGUUCUAAUGGAACUAGUUGAGUUCCGUGCUGUUCUGAGUUGGCUGUAUCUUACAGUCCUGAAUUCUGUAGAACUAUCUGAGUUCUAUUACUGAGACUGAAUGACUGUGUUUGACAGUCCUGAUUUUGUAACUGAAACUGUGGGAAGUAGUCAUCUAAUUGAUAUGCUCCAAAUAAAGCAAUAUAGCUGAGGUGGGGUCUAAUCUGUAACCCUAAUUGGGAAGGGUGUCAAUACCGCGCCACUGUUAAGGAUAAGCUGUGGGUAACCUUCAUCUGACAGUGUCUCCAAAAGAGAACGGUGGGGGCCCUCAUCUGACAGUGCUUAUUCACCUCAUCAACCCUUAUCUGACAGUGUUGAUGUCUCAACCUAUGCUGGCUACAUAGUUCUGGAACGCAAAGAUCACUUCUAAUAAUCACACCCUCAUCUGACAGUGUGUUUUCCCAACCUUGGGUUCACUCGGUGCUAAUUCCUACUCCCUGGAUUACUGAACUGGACUGAAUUAACUGAGUUCCCUUGACUGACGGAAUACUACUGAGAUUACUGAGUUUUUCUAAGUCAUGAGACUAACUGAAUUCUAUGGAUCAUGGCUUGACUGAGAGUAUCUUGAAAACAUGACACUGAUUUUAGGCACACAGCUAAAUUUUCGGGUACAAGUACCCCUGGACUCUAUGGGAAGAAACUGACAAAAGCAUGACUUUCUUGAAUACAUGACCAACAUCAACAAUCCAUAAUAUAAUAAGUUGGAGAUUUCAUGAAGUACAAGUUCUAAAGCACCACAAUGGCUACACAUAUAUCCAUAAUUCAUUGACUAAGGCAUUUCAUCAAACAUUUGACAUGCAUAAACUUGUACAUAAAUGGGGAUUUCAUAUUAUCAUACUAGUAUGGCACUUCUCCUUCACAUAGGCUUUUAAUCGAACACAUGGGGAGCAUGCUUUGGUUAUACAAUCAUCAACACAUCUAAUAAUCAUGGAUACAUCAAUCAACGUGUAAAUUUAAGGGUUUAUCACGAUUAUUAUGCAAAUCACCACAUCCUAGGGUUAAUCAUUGGAAUAUGUAAUUUCAAACAUGAAUCAAAACCCCACAGCAUCAUGAACAUGAAUUUCAAUUCAAUUUAAAUCAUGAACAGUCAUACAUACACAAAUCUUGGAUUUUGAAAAGAGAUUCUUGAGCUUCAUGGGUGAAAGGGACCAUGAAUCAACACAUGACAUACCUGGGUUGUGAGUUUCUUGAAGUUCUUGGACCUGAAGAACUUGGAAUCUCUUAGUUUCUUGAAGAAUGAUUUGGCUCUUGUUCUUGGGGAUUAUCUUUGAGAGAAAACCCUAAUUUGAUGUUGUAGAUGGAUAAUGAACUCAUGAGCCUUGGUCUGAUAUUAUUAGGGGUUAAAACGGGUGAAAAAAGACCCAAAUACCCUUUUAAAAACGACUUUAAAAUAACUGAACGAACUAUGCGACGGUUCAUCGCUGGGUCGACGGUCCGUCGGUCCUGACCAUCGCACCUGGGCAGAAUAGGGGUUUACUGCCACUGCUGCGACAGCUUGGGCGACGGUCUGUCGUUAGCUCGACGGUCCGUCGGCCUAAGCCGUCGCCCUUAGGCAGAAAGUGAGUUACUGCCUCCGCUGCGACGGUUUGGGCGACGGUCCGUCGCUAGCUCGACGGUCCGUCAGCCUUCAUCGUCGAACCUGGGCAGUUUUGACUGCUUUAUGUAAAAUGGUCAUAAUUUUCUACCCCGACAUCGGAUUUGUACGAAAUUGGUAUCGUACAUGGCAAAAAGUGAAUCUUAAAAAUUCCACGUAUAUAAAAGUGGAUUCAUCUUUCAAAGUAAGUUUCUAACAUACUUGGGACGAUUUCGAGCUAAGUAGAAGUAUGGGGUAUUACACAUAUGCUAAGUUGGUUCAGAGUAAGGAUGAAGAGAAGAAACGUGCAAAUAGGGAGGAUUCCAAGGCUAGCGGGGGGAGAAAGGUUGUAUAGGCUUGCUAAGGCUAGGGAGUGUAAGGGUCGUGACCUAGAUCAAGUGAAGUGCAUUAAGGGAAGGAUGGUAGAGUGCUGGUGGAGGACGUUCACAUUAAGAGAAGAUGGCAGUCGUAUUUUCAUGGACUCUUGAAUGAAGAGGGGGACAGAGACAUUGUGUUAGGGGAGCUGGAGCACUUAAAGGAGUGUCAGGAUUUCAGUUAUUAUAGACGUUUUAAGGUGGAGGAGGUCAGAGAGGCUAUUCGCAGGAUGCGAAGGGGUAGGGCGACGGGGCCUGAUGAGAUACCAAUGGAUUUUUGGAAGUUUACUAGUGGGGCUGGUUUAAAGUGGUUGACUGAAUUGUUUAAUGACAUUUUCAAGAUUGCGAAAAUACCAUUACUUUGAUUCAUUUAUAUAAGAACAAGGGUGACAAUCAGAGUUGCAACAACUAUAGGGGUAUUAAGUUGUUGAGUCACACUAUGAAGAUUUGGGAGAGUGGUCGAGCGGAGGUUGAGGAUGAUAGUGUCUAUUUCAGAGAAUCAGUUUAGAUUUAUGCUCGGUCGCUCGACGACUGAGGCAAUUCACCUGGUGCGGAGACUGGUGGAGCAGUAUAGGAAAGGGAAAAGGGACUUACAUAUGGUGUUCAUCGACAUGGAGAAGGUGUACGAUAAAGUCCCUAGGAAGGUUCUUUGGAGAUGCUUGGAGGUGAGUGGGGUCCCGGUGGCGUACAUCAGAUAGAUUAAGGACAUGUAUGAUGAAGCAAAAACUCAGGUGAGGACGGCGGGAAGAGAUUCAGAGCAUUUCCCUGCCUUGACAGGGUUGCAUCAAGGAUCGACUCUUAGCUCGUUUGUGUUUGCGUUGGUGAUGGAUGUGUUGAUGCGAUGUAUUCAAGGAGAGGUGCCUUGGUGUAUGCUUUUUGCAGAUGAUGUAGUUUUGAUUGAUGAUAUGCGGGGUGUGUGUGAAUGAUAAUUGGAGGUUUGGAGACAAAACCCUUGAGUCUAAAGGGGUUCAGGUUGAGUAGGGCCAAGAUAGAAUAUAUGGAAUGGAAGUUUAAUGACUUGAGGCGGGAGAACGAAGUGGUAGUAAGGUUGGAUUCCCAGGUUGUUUGUAAGAAGGACAAUUUUAAGUAUCUCGAGUGUAUGAUCUAGGGGAAUGGAGAGAUUGACGAAGAUGUCUCCCACCGUAUUGGGGCAGGAUGGAUGAAUUGGAGGCUUGCUUUUGGAGUGUUGUACGAUAAAGAAGGUGCCGUUCAAGCUUAAAGGCAAAUUAUACAGAGUGGCAGUUCGUUCGGCCAUGCUAUAUGGAGCGGAGUGUUGGCCUGUCAAGAACUCCCACAUUCUAAAAUUGAAGGUGACGGCAAUGCGGAUGUUGUGUUGGAUGUGCGGGCUUACUAGUAGUGAUAGGGCUAGGAAUGAGACUAUUCGGGAAAAAGUGGGAGUGGUUUUGGUGGAGGACAAGAUGCGGGAAGUUAGGUUGAGAUGAUUCGGGCAUGUGAUGAGGAGGGGCAUGGAUGCACCAGUUCGUAGGUAUGAGAGGCUAGCUUUGGAUGGUUUCAGGCGGGGUAGGGGUAGGCCUCAGAAAUACUGGAGAGAGGUGGGUAGACGUGACAUGGAGCAGUUACAACUUACCAAGGACAUGACCCUAGAUAAGAAGGUAUGGAGGACGCGAAUUAGGUUAGAAGGCUAGUGCAUGUAGGGGAGUCGUAGCCAGUAGUUAGAAGAGCUUUGAGGUAGCUGGGCUGGUAGUCUUAGGGCUAUAUUCAAAGUUUUGAGCUGAUAGUAGGAGGGUAUGGGGUGCCUUUGGUUCGUUAGUGUAGGGUAUUACUUUGUGGGUAUCUUAUUUCUGUUAUGUCUUCUUGUUUCAUGCAUUUUUACGACUUUGAUUAUUUUUCUUUGUCUUGAGCCGAGGGUCUAUCGGAAACAACCUCUUUACUUUUUUGGAGGUAGUGGUAUGGACAACAUAUAUUUUACCCUCCCCAGACCCUACUAUGUAGGAAUACACUGGGUUUGUUGUUGUUGGUCAAUUAGGGCUCUCAAGGGUGAUUUCUUUCCGUAGUUGUGAUACUUUCAGGCAUGUUACUCUUCCUUAAAUCUUAUUUUACGAAAAACAUGUGUUUUAAAUAGUCUAGCUGUAUGAAUUUGAAUGUGGGUUUUGACAUAGGUUGAGGGUUUUGGAAUGGAUGAUUCUUGAAUUGUUUUCCUAUGAUUUUCAUGAGUUGUUCAUGCUUUGAAUUGAUUGUUUUUGAACUAAUAUGGUGCAUGGGUGUAGGAAUUGGAAUGGGGGUCGAGGUAAUCCCCAAUUUGAUGUUUUGAAUUUGGAAUUUGGUUUUGAACAAUUGUAUUCCUCAACCCACUUGUGUAAAUGGUUUUGAAUUGUGUAAUUGUCACUUGGUUUGACUUACACACAUACACUAUUGCAUCGCUUAAAUGAUUAAACAAUGGACAUGGAUUUUGAAGGCUUUGUUGGCUAUGUGUUGAUUUGAUAAACUAAAGGAGGGCGAGGCAUUCCUCCAACUUGAUUUAAUGAACUAAGGGGGUCGAGGCAUUCCCCCAAGUUAAUGGAAUUGUAAUGGCAUACUUAUGAGCUUGCAAGCUAAAUGGUAUGACGAUACCUGUGGUGUGCCUUAAUGGUGUGCCUUAAUGUAUAAUUCCUUGGUUAAUGAAUAAGUUAUGUGAUACUUGUUUUAAUUGGGCUUAAUGGGGUUACGUAGCUAAGCCGCGAAGGGUGUGGGUCUCGGAUGACUUAUGCUGGAAACUGACGUUUGCCGACGUAAGGGUUGGUCUUGAUGACCGUGUGCAUGGUUCACACUAUUGAUAUAUUUUGUAUUUAGGAUUGGCGUGGGGUUGGGGCAUUCCCUAGUCUUUUUUGAUACCUCUGGUUUGUGCAGCUAACACACACUGGGGCCUUUCAGUGGGGGGAGCUGAACCCAUAUAGCCCGUGGGUGCCUAUUUAUAAAGGUUGAGCUACAUAGUCUAAUGCUUUACUAUCAUGCUAAAUCUUGUUCCCUGCCCCAGCAUCUAUUAUAUAUAUGUAUGCAUGUGUGUGAACAUGUAUAGUAAGUUUGGAAUUGAACUUUUGAUUGAUAUUAUUUUACCCUUACCCUGAGUUACAUGCCAGUGCUCACCCCACUAACCGUCUCUGGACGUUGCAUCCCCACGCGAUGCAGGGUCCGAAGACACUUCUACUUUUCCUGCACAGUGAUAGAUGAUGUUAGAGUCGGUUGUUGUGGUGAAGUGGUGAGCUUCCAUUCUCUGAAAGACUUGAUCAUUCCAUUGGUUUUUCUUCCAUAUAUUAGAAUUGAAGACUUCAUAUUUACAUUUCAUUGUCAUUGUCAGGGUGGGGGAGCAUGUCCCGAAGUAGGUUGUUUUUUGGUAUAGAGGCUUUGUGGAUAUUUCUGUGGAUUGGGUAUUAAUGUUGACACUCUUAGAUGUGUUUGAACUUAUUACCUUCUAUCUUGUUAUAUGUUUGGAAUUCAGCCGAUGUUAGAUGUGUUAUGUUCUGUUUGGCUAGGCAAAGGGGGUGGUCUUCGAUUCUCGGUGGACUUGAGAUACCUGUGACGGCCAGGCCCUAGUUCGGGUCGUGACAAAGUUGGUAUCAGAGCCUAGGUUUGGUGUCAUUAUGUGUUCACAAAGCUACGUCAAGUCGAGUCUUUUUUAUGGGUGUGUAGCGCGCCACACUUAUGAGGGAGAGGCUAUAAGACAUUUAGGAAUGUUUCUCUUUCUUGUGUUCUACUUUCGGGCUAUAGAGUCUAAGGUCUUGAAACUCCUCUAAUCUCCAUUUGUUUGUAUUUCAGAUCAUGUCUCCCCUAAGAUUUGAUGCCCGUGGAACUUCUUCUCUCCCACCUAAGGAUAAUAGGAUAAUGCGGACGGAGCUCGUCCUACUUAUGGAGUUCAAACCCGGUUUAAGGAUCCAACUUCUGAUUGUAUUGCCCCAUGUGGAGUUCUACCGGUCCAUACCAGUCCUCCUGGGCUCCUCGGGCGGAUGGUGAUCAUGCCCCACCGCUCCAAGGAGACAUUUCUAAUGCUGAGUUUCGUCGAUCUAUUCAUUUGUUGACCCAGUUGGUGACAUCUCAGUCACGUCAGUUGGGUCUUGCUGGUACUGCUAUGAGUUCUUUUGAGGUUACUCGAGUCGGGCAGUUUAUGAGGCUCAAUCCUCUGACCUUUACUGGUUCUAAGAUUAAGGAGGAUCCUCAAUGAUUCAUAGAUGAGAUGGAAAAGAUUUUUUGAGUUAUGCAUGCUUCUGACUCUGAGGGUGUGGAAUUUGCCGCAUAUCAGUUGAAGGAUGUGCCACACCAAUGGUAUGAGAAGUGAGAUUAGUCUAGGGGUGAUGAUGCUGAGUUGGCAUUAUGGAAUGAGUUUUCGGGUGCCUUCCUGGACCGCUUCUUUCCUUAGGAGUUGAGGGAGGCCAAAGCUGAGGAGUUUGUGAACCUAAACAGGGUAGGAUGAUGGUGAAAGAGUAUGCCCUGAAAUUUCAUUAGUUGUCCCGUUAUGCUCUUGAGCUGGUGUUUAGCAUGAGGGCUAGUAUGAGGAAGUUUGCUUCGGGUUUGUAUCGGGACUUGGUGCUAGAGUGCAAGGCCGCCUUGUUGAAUAUGGAUAUCUCUAGGCUUGUGAUGUAUAUGCAACAGUUAAAGAUGAAAAGAAAAGACAAGUCGAAAUAGGGGAAACCAAAGCAUGACGUCCCGGUAUUCUGAGCAGGGUGGAGGCCAACAGAGUAGUGGUAGAGAUGGCAGGCAAUGGUCUUAGAAGAAGUGGGAAAAUUCUAGUCCUUAUUCUACGAGUAGUGCUCUAUAUCCUAAGUCAUUCGGUGAUCACCGCUUUCACAACAACAGUGGGUUUAAGGCACAAGGUGCCCAAUCUCAGGCCAGUCGAGCCUUAUUCAGAGGAACUGUCCCUCCGGUGAUGUUGCUACUAGGGCUAAUAAGGUCCCGAUUGCUGCUUUUUCAGCUCCUGCACCAAAAGGUGCUACUUCGGGCUCCGACACGGGUCAGAACCGUCGUUAUACUCUUGCCACUCGUCAGGACUCUAAUGCGUCUCCUGAUGUUGUUAUUGGUAGGCUAAAACUUUUCUCUUGUGAUGUGUAUUGUCUUCUAGAUCUUGGGUUUACCCUUUCUUAUGUGAUCCCUUAUGUGGCUAUUCAUUUUGGUUUUGGUCCUAAAUGUAUUCCUGAUCCUUUUUCUGUUUCUACCCCGGUGGGUGACUAUUGUGGCUAGGAGAGUUUAUAGGGGUUGUGUGGUAACAAUCUGUGAUAGGGAGACGGUGGAUUUGAUAGAGUUGGAGAUGUUAGAUUUUGAUGUUUUCUUGAGGAUGGAUUGGCUCCAUUCGUGCUAUGCGUCUCUUGAUUUUAAGACCCAAAGUGUCAGUUUUCAAUUCCCGAAUAAGCUGGUGAUUGAGUGGGAAGGUAGUUCCCUAGUGCCUAAGGAAAGGUUUAUUUCGUAUCUUAGAGCCCGAAAAUUGUUUCCAAGGGGUGUCUGUGUGACCUGGUUCGGGUAAAGGUUCUAAUUUCGAAGGUCCCUUCUUGUCAUCUGUCCCUCUAAUCUGUGAGUUUCCCAAAGUGUUUUCUGAUGAUCUUCCUGGUGUCCCUCCUAAUAAGGAAAUUGAUUUUGGGAUCGAUCUUCUUCCGGACACUCGUCCUAUCUCUAUUCCUCCCUAUAGAAUGGCUCCAACUGAAUUGAAAGAACUUAAGGAACAGUUGAAAGAUCUUCUUGAUAAGGGUUUUAGUUGCCCUAGUGUUUCCCCAUGGGAUGCUUCGGUACUCUUUGUGCGUAAGAAGGACGGGUCCAUUCGAAUGUGUAUAAAUUAUUGCUAGUUGAAUAAGCUGACAGUGAAGAAUAAGUAUCCUCUUCCUAGGAUUUAUGACUUUUUUGACCAGCUGUAGGGUGCGAAGUUCUUUUCUAAUAUUGACCUUCGGUCGUUUUAUCAUCAGUUGAAGAUUAGGGAGGUGGAUAUCCCUAAGACUGAUUUUCGAACUCGGUAUGGUCAUUUUGAGUUUUUGGUGUCCUUUGGUUUGACUAAUGCACCAACGACAUUCAUGGAUCUUAUGAAUCGGAUAUUUCGUCAGUUUCAGGACUUAUUCGUUAUUGUGUUUAUUGAUGACAUCUUGUCGAUCACCUGCGUAUAGUGUUGCUGACCCUAAGGAUCAGCGUUUGUAUGCUAAGUUUUUGAAGUGUGAGUUCUAGUUGAAUGCUGUUACUUUUCUGGGUCAUGUUGUUUCUAGUGAAUAGAUCAUGGUGGAUCCACAAAAAGUUGCGGUGGUUAAGAAGUGGCCUAGACCCACGACUCCAACCGAUAUUCGGAGAUUCUUGGGCUUGGCCGGUUAUUAUAAGAGGUAUUAUAGGAGGUUUGUGGAUAGUUAUAUCUACUAUUGCUGCCCCAUUGACUAGGUUGACUUAGAAAAAGGUGAAGUUUCUAUGGUCCUAUGCUUGCAAGGGUAGUUUUGAGAAGUUGAAGGAUAAAUUGACUUCUGCUCCGGUUUUGACCCUACUCGAGGGUACUGAUGGCUUUGUUGUUUAUUGUGAUGCAUCCCGUGUGGGACUAGGUUGCGUGUUCCCGAUGUUGAUGGCUUCGAGAGAGGAUCUUGGCGGAGGCUCAUGAGUUGAGGUAUAUUAUUCAUCCUGGUUUGAUGAAGAUGUACCAUGAUUUAAAAAAGACCUAUUGAUGGAAUAAAAUGAAGCGUGAUGUGGCAAAUUUUGUGGCCAAGUGUAUGGCGUGUCAACAAGUGAAAGUUGAACACUUGAGACCUGGCGGUUUGUCUCAAGAGAUUGAAUUGCUUAUGUGGAAGUGGGAGGAGAUUAAUAUGGAUUUCGUUAUCAGUUUUCCGUGAUCUCGAAAUCUAUCUGAUUCGAUUUGGGUCAUCAUUGAUAGGAUGACUAAGUCCGCUCACUUCUUGCCAGUAAAGACUACUUAUUCGGCGGAGGGUUAUGCUAAGCUUUUCAUUCAGGAAGUCUCAAGUUGCAUGGUGCGCCUAUCUCUAUUAUAUCUGAUUGCGGUAUGUAGUUCUCGUCUCAUUUUUGGCAUUAUUUUCAGUGAGGUUUGGGGACUAAGUUGAACCUUAACAUCGCUUUUCAUCCUCAAACGGAUGGUCAAGCAGAGAGAACGAUUCAGACUUUAGAAGAUAUGCUAAGGUCUUGUGUGCUUUAUUUUGGCAGUAGCUGGGUUGAUCAUUUGCCUCCCAUAGAGUUUGCGUAUAAUAAUAGUUUUCACUCUAGUAUUGGAAUGGCUCCUUUCGAGGCCCUUUAUGGUAGGAGGUAUAGGUCCCCUAUUGGAUGGUUUGAGGUUGGUGAGGAUAGGUUAUUUGGUCCUGACUCGGUUCACCAAGCCAUGGAAAAGGUGAAGGUGAUUCGGGAUAGACUUAAGGCUGUCUAGAGUCGCCAAAAGUCCUAUGCGGAUGUGAGGCGUAAGGAGUUAAGAGUUUAAUGUGGAUGAUUUGGUGUUCUUGAAAGUAUCUCCCAUGAAGGGAGUGAUGCGGUUUGGAAAGAAACGGAAGCUCAGUCCUUGGUAUGUUGGUCCCUUUUGUGUCUUGAGGCGAGUGGGCCAUAUGGCUUAUGAGUUGGAGCUGUCGACUAAGUUAGGUUCUAACAAGACAGAAGCUCCCCAAGGAGACUGACUCGGUCUAAUGAAACCCUUACCCAAAAGAUCCUGAAGCUGAGAGUUCAGUUCAUUAAGCUCGGCAAGAGCCACAUGGUAAGGUGCAAUAGAAAUAAGUCGGGUGCCAGGCUUAACAUCAAUAACAAACUCAAUAUCACGCUUAUGAGGAAACCGAGGUAGAUCAGUAGGGAAAACAUCAGGUAACUCACGAACUAUCGGAACAGAGUUGAGCAAUGAACUCUCCAUACUAACAUAACGAAUAUAAGCGAGAUAAAACUUGCAACUCCUCGAAAUAAGCCUCCUAACCCAGAUAUAAGAAAUAAUCCUCAUCGGCUCGCAACUAAUGGCUCCCUGCCACACUAUUAGAGGUAUACCGGGCAUGACUUAGGUAACGGUCUUGGAAAAACAACCUAAGACCGCAUGAUAGUGGGAUAACCAGUCCAUGCCUUGAAUCACAUCAAAAUCCACCCUAUCUAACACAAUAAAAUCAACUUGAGUAUCAAACUCUCGAACGGUCACAACACAUGAUCUAUAAACCCGAUCCACUAUUAAAGAAUCACCCAUGAGAGUAGAUACACAUAAUGAAACAGAUAAGGAAUCCCAAGAUAACUCUAAUUGUGAGGCUUAGAAAGCACACACGUAAGAAUAAGUGGAUCCUGAAUCAAAUAAAGCAAAAGCCGACUGAUGGUACACCCAAAUUGUACCUGUGAUAACAACAUCCGAAGACUUAGCCUCAGUCUAGCAGGUAUGGCAUACAACUGACCACGCCCGCUAUCUGGCUGGGCUCCUGACCGAUCUCCCGUCCUGAGAACCUCCACGAGCACCAUGAGAACUACCCGACGGCCAUGCACACCACUUCUAGUUUGGGGAUGUACUGCCCUAAUUGGUGGAACUCUGAGUUGAAGGAACCAUCGCUCCACGACUGGGGCACUCUCUCGAGAAAUGGCCAAAACCCCCACAACCAUAACAUGCCCCAAGCGCUGCACUGAACCAGACUGACCCGGAAUAACAACCACAGCUAGAAUAACCAGAAGACAAACUACUUAGAGGCUGACAACUACUCUGGCUAGGAUGAUCAUGUAACUAGACUGGCCUCCAUCAGUAAUUUGAAGUGUGGCUUGAAAGGGCUUGACGCGGAGGGCACCUACCUUGAGAACCAUUGUCUCUGAAUCGUGAGCCACUACAAUUCUCACUGAAACUACCUUGAUAUUGCGAUCUUUUAUUGCUGCCCCCUUGGGCCUGCCUCGUGAUGUAUCUCCUCCAUAACCUGAGCAUGAUAAUAAACCUUCAUAAAAGACCUACCCGCAACAACAAAUUCUGUGUAGACAUGCGAAGAAAAAGUCUCAAUCCCCGAACAAAGCAACAAACCCUCUCAUACAGUAGUCAAAAUAGAGCAUGCUUAGCCAACCCAUAAAAUCGAGCCUCAUGCUCCACAACAGUCAUGGAGCGCUGCUCCAACCUUGAGAAUUGAUCCCUCAGACGAUCUUUAAGACUGCGAGGCAUAUACUUCUCCAAGAAAAUCUCGGAGAAUUGUGUUCAUUUCUAAGGGAAGAUCCAGCUGGUUUGAUUUGGAAUCAAGAUGACCUCUCUACCAAUGUCAAGCUGCCAAGUCCAAUUGAAAAGUAGUGUAAUCCACACCACGAGUCUCAACUAGGCCCAAACUAUGGAGCCUGUCCUCAUAAGUAACCAAGAACUCAUAAGCUUCCUCUUCCAGUGCACCAGAAAACCUCGGCGGAGCCAAUCUCAAGAACCUACCCAACAUCUUUUGCUCUUCAAUAAACAUAGCAGGCUAGGCAACUACUGGCUGAGCAACCACCAAUGUAGGAAGGACCUCAACUUUGGGAGCUGCAGCUACAGGCUGUGCCCCCGCCUCAAUACCACUCUGAUUGGCAGACUGGGGCACCAUUAGACGGUGCACCACCAACCAAUCCCAAGAGCUGAACUAAUGCAUCCCUAAGCACUGAAGAAGAAAUAAACCUUGGUGGAGCCUGGGCUGGUCCCUGGCCCACCGCUGGCUGGGCGGAAGAAUCUCUGGCUCGGGAGUAGGAAUAUGGUCCGGUGAAGGCCCCCUAGCGUAGCCCCUAGUUGGGACACAUCUCUAGGCUGUCUACGACCUCUAGGUCGUCCCCGAGCAACGAUAUGAUCCCUAGGCUCAAAUUCAGGAUCCUUGUCAUGUGUAACGGUAACAUGUGUUCUAGCCUUCUGCGAAAGAGUGAAACCAAAAGAAUUCUUUAAAAACCAACUCAGAUUCUUUGCACGAAAUGAGUGAAAGAAGUGAACUCCUAAGAAUGUCCUAUAGCCUCCCGAAGAUAAGAAACGGAUGUCUUCAUUCUGAUUUGUGGGACUCGACUAGACACUUGCUCUUGUACCAACAAUAUUGGUAACCUGUCUCUGAUACCAAUUGUCACAAUUCGUUUACGAGUCAUGAUGACACCUACUUUAUCUCACCAGUAGGUAAGCCAAACCAUAGCUUGGAGCUAUAAGCAAUAGGCUAAUUUGGUAGAAAAAGACGUAAAAGUCGAAAAUUUGCAAGUAAAGAUUACAAUAUUAAUAAGGCAAUAAUAAUAGUCCAAAAAUUAGAUAAAACAUCAAUAACCACCCACGACCUAGUGUGUCGGUACAAGAGCUAUUAUAAAAGGAACAUAAGUAUUGAAAUAGUCAAAUACAAAUCCGUUUCGAAUAGUGAAAGACUAGACAUAGAUUAUAGAAGGAAAAAAAGGCAACUCUGACUUCGAGAGCUCACCCUAUCUCUGAAAUCAACUUAGCAUGAUCGUCACGUUAGCAACGGCCACUGGUACUCGGAUCUAAAUCACGGGUACUUAGUAGGCAUCAUCGACCGACUAAGCUAAAUCAUGAUAUAAAUACGAUAAAGAUGCAAGAUAAAUAGCUAAUUCAAGAUAAAAGGGCAAACCCAAAAAUAUGCUCCAACACUGUUAAUAAAUAACUGGAAAAAAUAUAAUAUGAAAGAAAGCAUAAUGCAUACUACAAGACGCUCCAUAAGCCAGUAAGUGCGGAAAAUAAAUAACCCAACGCGAGCCCCCAUAAGCCUAGAGGGUGCAAUCAAAGGAAAGUAAAUAAUCGAAGCUCCAUAAAUUUAUCGAAUAUCAAGCCAUAACCAUGAACCUAUCCAUACCGUUUCAUAUCAUAGAUAAACUCUUAAUGCCGGACUUGAACCGGAACUCAAUAGCAUCAUCAUCAUUAUCAUCAUUUGACGGACUUGAACCGAAACUCAUUCAUCAAUAUCAUCAUCAAUUGCCAAACUUGGACCAAAACUCAAUAUCAAUAAACCACCGAGUUUUGCCCGAAAUUAGCACCAACUCCCAAGUACCAAACUAGCGUAAUUUUUAAGUAUCUAAUCUCCUCAGAGUCCUAAAAUAAACACUUUAAAGGGUAUAACAUGCGUAUAGAAGUCUAUGAGAGUUAACACAAAUCUUGACCUAAGGUGGGCCGGAAGGGUCCACUUCUAAUUCUCGAAAUCGGUUCUAAGGCAAAUUCAACCCAGGACAAGGCUAAGAUAUCUAAAUUCACUUCUAGAUGUUACACAAGCCACAAUUAGCCCUAAGAUAGCAAUUCUACCUAAAUCACGUGCAACUAAGUCAAUUCCACCCAAUUACGGUUCCUUAAUAUGCUAAACAGUCCAAAUAAUGCUAAUUAUAUCAAUCAUACAUCCAAUACCUAAAUUCCAUCCCAUGUCUAGCAUAAUAUCAUAAUUAUACUAUGCAUUAACUCAAUUUAUGAAGAAGGUAAACCUAGCCUAUUUGGACAUUAAAGGAAAGCUUGAAGAAUUCGCUAAACCGAAGAUUUUCCUUUUCGAGAAUCUUCCGCAAGAUGCCACGCUAUCAAACUAAUCUACUCAUCAAUACGAGAACAACGAUACUCGUAUUGCACUAUUGUGCUUCGGGUCUAAAAUUACAUAAAAAUUCUAUGUGGGGCCUGUUUGUGGAAUCACACGUUUGAAACCGGACAAUACGUCCCUCUAUGCUCAAGGAACAUUUACCCUCAAGUUUGGGCGAAUUCCGAGUUGAAAUGGUGCUACAAUCAACCCACCAAUAUUCUAGGAAUUUUGGAAAAUGAUAAAGGAUUUAAUCAUGAAAUUGAUGAAAGUUUACCAAGAAUUAGGAGAAGAAACGCGUUGCUCGAGCUUACGAACACCCCAAAAUCACCCACUAACAGUUCUCCCAAGUUUUCACACCUUUUAGGCUUAUACACUCUUCAAAAUGGAAGAAAACAGUCUAACUGGGAAUCCAUUCCCAUGUGUCCAGGUGCUGCUAAAGCGAGCGGCCGACACAUGGAGCUGCUAACGGCCCGAGGUCCACUUUAGUGGUCAACGCUAAAGCGCUCAGGUGCCGCUAAAGCAGUACUUGCGCUGAUGGGCCGGGUCUAAGCGGUCAGUUGGCGCUAAAGCGGCCAACAUACCGCUAAAGUGCCACUUGCGGAGCUGACCAGGUCGUUUAAAUGUUGGAAGGUCGCUAAAGCGCCCUCCGCUGAAGUACCCAAGAGGCCGCUUUAGCGGUCACACCAGCUGAAAUGUAUUAGCUGGAGACUUGGAGACUUGGAAUUUUUUGAGUCUCCGCUGACCCCUUGAAAUUCCUUUGGAACCCCGUAUACACAAACGAACUAUGCUACCCUAUCAAAUUCGACGUUUCGGACUCAAUGACGUAGUCAAAAUUUUCAUCUGAAGUCGUUUUGACGAAAAGUGGGUCUCACACCCACGUGCCAUUUUUUUUAAGUUCCGGCAAAUAGCCCGAAAUGAGUCAAAAAGCCUUGGGACCUGGACCAAGGGUCCACCUAGCCUAAAUCAACGUCUCGAAGCUGUUUCUACUAUUAGAAUUGAUAUACGGGGUCGUUUGACUGAAAUUUUCGCUCGCUAGUUAAUUCUAAACAUCGAAUACUUCAAAACAGGGAAUUGACUCUAAAAAUCAAAUGAACUGUCAGCUCCAGCAAGUUAUAAAUGACUUGGGGCAGCUAUAGGAAAGCUCUAAACGGCGAAAAUGAGCGGAAAUGCAGAAAAUGACCUGGAGGGUCAUUACAAUUAUCGUCUAAUGUUAGAUGCAUUUUAAAUCAGAGAGACAAAACCAGCUGUAUCACUACAGAUGCUCUUCGUUGAAAAGGCAUGUCUUGGGUUCUUCACUAGAUUAUGAUGUUCAUCUGAAACCUAUCUGCUGUGCAGCAGUGAGGCGAUAGUUUGUUUCAUUUCAUUUUUUACGAAGAAGAGUGGAGCAUGGUGGUGGUGGAAGCUAUCAUGUUGUCAAAUCAUGCAAUUACAUAACUACAAAAGAACUUUAUAGUAGUGGACAAUUUGCCUUAUACUCUUAUUCAUCUGAUUCUUUGAAUGGGAGGGUGGGUGGGUUGUGCAUCAUCAACCCAAUCCAUCCGGAAUUGUAGUUUUGUGCAUUUGAUUUUAUGAUAUCAAAUUUGGAGAAGGCUUCUGCAACAACCCUAUGGGGUGUUAAGGAGAGAAGAAUAAAUUAGUCACCUAGGCGUUCAUGUUGGGUGGACUUUGGGGUCUGGAUGCCGUAGUUGGAGCUGUUAGUUCAAGGCAUGUGACUUGCUAACUUUUUGUUUAUACUUGUGCGUUUAGCGUUUAUAUCUCAUGGAUUCUUCUCUUGCUUCUCUCAAGUCCAAUACCCUACCUCAAAGUUGUCCAGUCUACAUAUUAUAAUUUCAUUUUCUGUGUUCUAUUGUAGACCGGAUCCAUUUUUGCUGCUUCUGGUGAUUCUUGUGCAUACUGCUGGGAUGUGGUAUGUAUUUGUACAAGGUGCAUGGUUGAUUAUCAUAUUAUAAUAACUCUUAAUCACUUAUUUCUUUUUGUUUGCCCUAGCCCCUACGUAUAUAUCAUUGCUUCUUCUUAAAAGGAUUUCUUUCUUUUGUUAAAUAAAAGGAGAAACAAAUCUUCUAAAUAAGAUUUCUCUUAUGACGAUAUGAUUUAAAUUAUGGUGCUCAGGAGAAGAGUGAAAUAAAGAUGGUUUUCAAAGGACAUUCAGACUACUUGCAUUGCAUUGUUGCGCGAAAUUCUCACAAUCAGGUAAAAAUUUCUUUGUGUCUCUAAUACGUACGCACUCUUUCUCUGUGUCUAGUCUUACCCUUUUUCAUUUUAUGCACUUGUUACAGCACUCUGUGUCUAAUACGUACCGCUCCUAUUAUUGAAAGAGUAAUGUUCCUUGAAACUUUAAUUGUUUCUUGGAAUUUGCCCAAUUUUAUUGCUUAGUGAUUACUUUUUUUUUCUCUGUCUCCCUCGGCAAUUUUAGGUUAUAACUGGUUCAGAGGAUGGGACAGCACGAAUAUGGGGUAUAUCUUUUAUACUCUUUCAAUAAUAGGAGCGGUAGUUAUCGAAAAAAAAUUGGAGCACAAGGCCAGCCUUGAUGAUUGAUUGCUUUGGGCUCUCUCUUACUUGGGAGUUGGGAGUAACACAUGGUUUUCUCAAUUUUGAUACGUCUUUAUGUGUUGAUUAUUUACUGCCAUUUAUGAAAUUGCCUUAGAUUGCAGAAGUGGAAAAUGUAUUCAAAUAAUUGAUCCCCAGAAGGAUAAGAAGUUGAAGGAGUUGUUUCCAUAUGUCAGUUGCAUAGCUCUUGAUGCAAGCGAGAGUUGGCUGGUAAGAGUUCAGAUGCCAUUACCAAACUAACUUUCUUGUAAGUUUGCUACUGUACAAGUAUUAUAAUUGUUGCUGUCAUACUGCAAUUGCUUCUGUUGACAGUAUAAUUACUGAAGCUUACUAUUGUAGUUAAUGUUGUUGAUGACAUGUAAUAAUAAUCUUGUCAAUGAUGACUGGGCUUGCUGAAGACGACAGCAAGAUAUGAGUCUCCUAAUUUUGGAGAGUUUACACUUUGCAUUCAUGAUUUUGUUUGUUAUGUUUGAUGAAACAGAUUAAGAUAGCAGUCUUCAAACUUGGUGUGUGAUUCUUUAACCCUCUACCACUUCUUUUACGAAACAUUCCUCCCCCUUCUCCAAAAAAGCUUUACAUACUAAAGUUAUUUCUCUUUUCUUUUAAAACUUGAAAAAAAAGAGUAGGUAUACAUCAUUACCGGCCAAAGGCUAAAAUAAAGAGGGGGUGGGGGUGGUUGGGGAGGACUACUGACUAUGUUUACAUAGAGCAUUUCCUGUCUUUGGCCUUGUGAAAUUAAGUUCAUGUUGAGAUAACAUGGUAAUGGGAGCAGCUCCAUGCAUUAGAUGUAGAGCCUCGAGCCAGGUAUUGUGUUGCUUGAUUGCUAUUGGACAUUUGAGGUAUUUGCAACUGUAAGUAAUGGCGGUACUUCCAUGAAUGUGUAAAGUACUUGUUAUUCCCAUUCGCCAGAAAAGCUAGAUAUUUUUUGUUUCCAGUUAGUACGAUCCGAGUAUAUUAGUAUAAUGAAGGGUUUUUCUAUUUCACUGUUGAAGUUUUAAGGACUUUGCAUUGUCGGAAUCCACUGAACAGUAGUUUUGGUAGAAUUCUCAAGCACACUGAAGAGAAUCAAAGUAUAUUUCUUAUGAUUAAGGAGUCGAGUAAGAAAUGAUCAUAUCUGAUGGGGAGUGUAUGUUAGAGGCACAUAUACAACAAGAACAACUGCGUCUCAGUCCCAACUAAAUUGGGUCAGUUAUAUGAAUCUUCAUUUCAUCAUUUAAGCCCAUUUCGGUAUCAUCAUCACAAUAAAUAGGUUUGCAGAACACAUUUUUCCGGCGAGUCUCAACUGGAACUUAACCUUUCCUUCCUUUAGCCAACAAUUAUCACCCACUAUGAUCACUGAAACAAUUUCUAAAAUAGGUGUUAGUAGGUCAUGGGGGAGAACAGAAUUUAUUUUGCAGUUGGGUUCAAGUCCUAUGAUAUUACGAGAUUGAUCAGUAGGACAGAAACCUGGUUUGAAUGGGUGGAAAGAAGUAGGAAUUUGAUGCGCAGAACCAAGUUUAACAAGAAAACCAUGGAGUGGUUAGUUUUUGUUUUGCUAGAAGCCUCGAGGGACACUGGAAUGCAUACAAGAUGGUGGAAGCUCAAUGACAAAUUUGCAGAUUUCUAUUGUGCCAGAAAACACAAGUUUGGCAGAUUUAUUAGCAUUGUUACUGUUCAAGGAGAGAACAGAUCAGUUAUUAUAAUACCAGAAUUUGCAUUAAUUAAGGGGUGGGGGUACAUAGCAUUAAAGGUAGAUAGCUCCAUUAAAAAUCAAAAGGAAGUCCCUAGUACAAGUUCAAGCAGAUCUAGAAGAACAGACUCAAAAACCCUUUAUGCCGACACAAUCAGAACCAACAAGUGGCAAUCAAAGGCAACAUCUGAUGCAAAAAUAUGUCAAAGCAGGGGAGACAUGGUAAUAAAUGAUGCUGAUGCAGAAGCUCAAAAAGGUCUACUUGGAAGGUGCAUUGUUGGGACCUUUGCUGCAAGGAUGAAGGAGAUACCCACUCUUGCAGAUAUUAGAAGAUGGGCCACCUUUACAUGAACAAGGCUUUUGGGGUCAACAUUUAUGAGAUGAAUGGAAACUCUUUCCUCUUCGAGUUCCCUAAUAAGCACAUGGCAGAACAAAUUCUUCAUGGAGAGUGGACUUGGAAGCAUCUGAAGUUGUAUCUCCAAUGAUGGUCACCGACAGUGGGAUGUUGUUCGCAACGAAAGAACUCAACUUGGAUUAGAGCUAUGGGCUCCUGUUACAUAUCUGGACAGAAAGUGCAUUCAAAGCUAUUGGUGAACAAUGUGGUGGAUGGCUAGAAACUGAAGAAGAAACCUCCCUAUAGAAUCAACUGAAGUGGGCAAGGGUGAGAGUCAAAGGUGAUGGGGAAAACAUACCGAAAGAUGUCAAGCUAUUGGAUAAAGUUCUUACCUUUAUUAUUCCGAUCUAGCUGGGAAUUCAGACCUUGGUGGUGAUCGAAGAGCCGAAGAAGUCACUGGAUAAUCACCCGUGGAUAACUAUAAAUCAUGGAGGAAGAAAUAGCAACUCCGGCAAGGUGAAGAAGACGAAAGACAAUGACCGCUGGUUAAUAAAAGAGAACAGAGAAAGAAACAACGGUUUUUAUAAUGGUGAAAAUAGGUAUGGACACGUGGUUUCUACAUCAGAUCCAACAGCUGGCGUGGGCCCAGUUGCAUGUGCACAGGAGGAUAUUUUAAGUAAUGGGCCAAUUUUGGGGCAAAAGGAAAAAAAUAGAUUUCUGUGGGGUUUUUUCCAAUGAUGGCCC
rnacentral:lncRNA from 1 species